AGGGGAAUAUUGCACAAUGGGCGCAAGCCUGAUGCAGCCAUGCCGCGUGUGUGAAGAAGGCCUUCGGGUUGUAAAGCACUUUCAGCGGGGAGGAAGGCGUUAAGGUUAAUAACCUUGGCGAUUGACGUUACCCGCAGAAGAAGCACCGGCUAACUCCGUGCCAGCAGCCGCGGUAAUACGGAGGGUGCAAGCGUUAAUCGGAAUUACUGGGCGUAAAGCGCACGCAGGCGGUCUGUCAAGUCGGAUGUGAAAUCCCCGGGCACAACCUGGGAACUGCAUUCGAAACUGGCAGGCUAGAGUCUUGUAGAGGGGGGUAGAAUUCCAGGUGUAGCGGUGAAAUGCGUAGAGAUCUGGAGGAAUACCGGUGGCGAAGGCGGCCCCCUGGACAAAGACUGACGCUCAGGUGCGAAAGCGUGGGGAGCAAACAGG
rnacentral:rRNA from 1 species